CAGGGAAUCUUGCGCAAUGGGCGAAAGCCUGACGCAGCAACACCGCGUGGGGGAUGAAGGCUCACGGGUCGUAAACCCCUUUUCUCAGGGAAGAAAAAAAUGACGGUACCUGAGGAAUAAGCCUCGGCCAACUACGUGCCAGCAGCCGCGGUAAUACGUAGGAGGCAAGCGUUAUCCGGAUUUACUGGGCGUAAAGAGCGCGCGGGCGGUCCCUUAAGUUGGGUGUGAAAGCUCUCAGCUUAACUGGGAGAGGUCAUCCAAUACUGAGGGGCUUGAGGGCAGCAGAGGAAGAUGGAAUUCCCGGUGUAGUGGUGAAAUGCGUAGAUAUCGGGAGGAACACCAGUGGCGAAGGCGGUCUUCUGGGCUGUACCUGACGCUGAGGCGCGAAAGCGUGGGGAGCAAACAGG
rnacentral:rRNA from 1 species